rnacentral:rRNA from 1 species
CCUACGGGUGGCAGCAGUGGGGAAUAUUGGACAAUGGGCGAAAGCCUGAUCCAGCCAUGCCGCGUGUGUGAAGAAGGCCUUCGGGUUGUAAAGCACUUUCAGUGGGGAAGAAAGCCUUGGGGCUAAUACCCUCGAGGAAGGACAUCACCCACAGAAGAAGCACCGGCUAACUCCGUGCCAGCAGCCGCGGUAAUACGGAGGGUGCGAGCGUGAAUCGGAAUUACUGGGCGUAAAGCGCGCGUAGGCGGUCUGAUAAGCCGGUUGUGAAAGCCCCGGGCUCAACCUGGGAACGGCAUCCGGAACUGUCAGGCUAGAGUGCAGGAGAGGAAGGUAGAAUUCCCGGUGUAGCGGUGAAAUGCGUAGAGAUCGGGAGGAAUACCAGUGGCGAAGGCGGCCUUCUGGACUGACACUGACGCUGAGGUGCGAAAGCGUGGGUAGCAAACAGGAUUAGAUACCUUGUAGUC